rnacentral:rRNA from 1 species
UGAGCAAUCUGCCCUUCUCUUUGGAAUAAGCGUUGGAAACGACGUCUAAUGCCGAAUACGACCUCCUUUCGCAUGAUCGGAGGUGGAAAGCUCCGGCGGAGAAGGAUGAGCUCGCGGCCUAUCAGCUAGUUGGUGUGGGUAAUGGCCCACCAAGGCGACGACGGGUAGCCGGCUUGAGAGGGUGACCGGCCACACUGGGACUGAGACACGGCCCAGACUCCUACGGGAGGCAGCG